ensembl:lincRNA
GAACUUCCUGGACCUCAGGUAAUCUGCCCACCUUGGCCUCCCAAAGUGCUGGGAUUACACACAUAAGCCACUGUGCCUGGCCUUUAAGUUUUACUUUUAAUAGAGAUGAGGUCUCCUUAUGUUGUCCCAGCUGGUCUCAAAUUAUUGACCUCAAGUGGUCCUCCUGCCUUUGUCUCCCACAAUAUUAGGAUUAUAAGCAUGAGUGUUGGGCCUGGCCAAGGGUUCUAGUUUCUUGCUAGCAUAUGUUAUUCUCUGACUGUUUAAUUAUAAUUCUCCUAGUGGUUGUGAAGCGGUGCCUUAUGGUUUUCAUUUGCACGUUUGAAAUGAAGAAACUGAGGCCAGCACGAAGAUAAUCCAAUGCGAAGAAAUUUAUUCAGGCUCCCGGGCUCCAGCAGCAGUGGCAACUGCAAGGGUCACCUCCAGUCCACACAAACUCUUCAGCCGGCCAGGUUCACCCCGCAGUUCCUGCGCGUCUGCCUGCCCCACCAUGGUCACCUAAUGUCCACGAAGACUCUUCAGCUCACCAGGUUCACCCCGCAGUUCCUGCGCAUGCGCCUGCCCCGGGAGGGCUAAACUCUCAUCGCUUCACCUUGUCCCCCGAGCCGGGUCUUCGACUUUGCAUAGUAGUCACCUGCAAGAUCUUGAGCUCCAGCAACCAACAGUGGGACCCUCCUCCCCGGGUCUGGAGGCCCCCAUCGAGAAAGAAACCUGUGCUGCCUCCACACAACUUUGCAGGCAGCAGAAACACCGUGGGGACAGCGCCGGGCCAGACCCCAAAGGCGGAGGCGGGGGCGGCGGAAGAAGAGCUGGAAGCGAUGGAAGUGGACGAUGAGGUGCUGGGGAAAGACCACCUCCGCAGUUCCUCGGAUUCCCCCAUGGAAUGGGAGGACACCCAGCCCAAGGAUGCUGCAGCCCUUGCAGCAAGCAGCUGUUCCCUACCCACAGCUGGCAGCCAAAGUCUCGACGGUCCUCCCAGGAAUGGAGGUGGGGGAGAGCUGAGGGGCCCCUACCCGCUAAACGUCCCCGCCGAUCCCCGGAAGGAUUCGGAGUCACCACAGGCAGACGUACAAGACCAACAUCCAGGACACUCAAAAAGCGGCAUGGGAGAAUAAAGAUGUGAUCAACUGCAGUGCCAGCCAGCCUGCCCCGAUCUCUCCCCACCCUGCCCCAAUGACUCCCCACCCUGCCCCAAUGUCUCCCCACCCUGCCCCACGCCACCUAAAUCUCACCCUGACCUCAAAAAGCGGUGGGAUUCCAGGCAUGAGUCAGCAUGCCAGGCUAAUUCAUGUGUAAUCUCACAUGCAUUCAACACAAGCACUGUAAUUUGAGGUGCCAAUCACCAGAGAAAUUUGAUUGGAAAUGUGUAUGGCUACAACUUUGAUUUGGACAUUUCUCUCCAACUAGUGUGAAUAAAAAUGUGCUUUUGAUUGCAUUGAUUCCUCUGAUUAGAGUACUACAAAUUAUGCCAAACUCAUCCUAAAUUUCUUGUUCAGUUUCCUUUACACGGUGAGGUCUGGAUUACCCUGAUUUCCUUAAUUUACAAAUUCAACUUGUAUUUCAACUAGCUAGCAUGGAUGCCUUGCCCUCCUCCUAUGCAACGGAUAUAUUCUGGAAUCAACAUUAAACUGCAUAGCAAGUUCGCAUUCUCUGAGUUUUCUUUCUUUCUUUUUUUUUUUGGUGUUUUGAGAUGGAGUUUCACUCUGUCUAGAGUUUUCCUUUACAUAGUGUUUUUACUUGACUAAACACAAAAAUAAAAUUUGUUUCCAUAGUUCAAAAUCAGUGCAUAAGAUUAAUUAAUAUGUAGAAAUUGGAGAGAAAAAUUUGAAAGAUAUGACCCUUUUUUUCUGUUUUCAACUUGAGCAAGGUUUCUAAAGGAUAGGGUCUAAUUUAUUAACAGUGUAAGUGAAUAAAAUUGGUUGAAUAGUUUUAUUGGAAUUAAAAGGAUAAUAGGAGAGUCUUUCACCUCUAACUACUUGGCUGAUAGAUCUCUUAUUUACGGUGCAGAUAGUUAAAACCAGGGGCAAUCGACAUGCUUUGCAUGCACGGUUUAGUAAAGGAAUAUUUAGUAGCUUCCCUUUAUCAUCCUUUUCCCACAUCUGUAGAGUUUACGGAUCCUGGACCACUGCAGGCUUUAGCCUUCUGCAGGGAAUUGAUCUGAUAAGAUUCAGUGCUGCUAAUGUCUGAAUUCUUACACAGAAAGAAAAAAACUCAAAUCCCUUUUUAUUUUUCAGGAUACCUCUUUUAUUUUCUCUGUAGAAUCAAAAUAAUAUUCGUUUCUCCAGGGAGAGAGAGUGACAGAAAAUUGAUAACAUAUUCUGUGAAUAGCUGAAAAAGGAGCGGGGCGAGCCCCGGGACAGCGGCCUGGCUAACUUCUGCCCGGCGGUGCCCUUCCCAGAGCGUGCCCUCGCCGCCGGUGAGUGAGGACGGGACCCAGAGUGGGCAGCGGGAAGUGGGGCCCGCACGGGUGCGACUCCGACAGCGCCGCGGGACAGAGGGAAACUGAGGCCGGAGCCGUGGACCGGAUAUACGAGGGGGCGGCCCGGGGCAGCACU